rnacentral:rRNA from 1 species
GGGGGGGGGGGGGGGGGGGGGGGGGGGGGGCGGGGCGGGGGGGGGAGGGGGGCUGGCACCGUGGAUGAGGGGCGAACGGGGGAGUAAUACGUGAGUGACCUGCCUUUGACUCUGGGAUAAGCCGGGGAAACUGGGUCUAAUACCGGAUACGACCAAGCGCUGCAUGGGGUGUUGGUGGAAAGCGUUAUGGAGUGGUUUUAGAUGGGCUCACGGCCUAUCAGCUUGUUGGUGAGGUAAUGGCUUACCAAGGCGACGACGGGUAGCCGGCCUGAGAGGGUGACCGGCCACACUGGGACUGAGACACGGCCCAGACUCCUACGGGAGGCAGCAGUGGGGAAUAUUGCACAAUGGGCGCAAGCCUGAUGCAGCGACGCCGCGUGAGGGAUGACGGCCUUCGGGUUGUAAACCUCUGUUAGCAUCGAAGAAGCGAAAGUGACGGUAGGUGCAGAGAAAGCGCCGGCUAACUACGUG